ACACGGAAUCGCAUCCAUCAAACAGGACUACAAGUCCCAUGAUGCUCUGUGCGCUCUGGGGAUUCUAUUGGCCUGAUUAGCGCAGAGCCCCAGAGACGGACACAAAGGCUUCAGGUCUGGCAGAUUUUCUUUUUUUGAUAAAUGGUUUAAACAAGAUAUUCAUUGAGUUCAGACCAGACCAUGGUAGAUAAAGAUACGCCUUCAUCUUAUAAAAGCAAGGAAGACUGGGUUGACUCUCGACGAGAAGCUAUUCCUGAGGCUGAAUCAUCGGACGAGUUAGGAACCCGAGACGCUCUCCCGGAGGAUGAGGCGGAAAGUCCAGGAAAAUUGAGAGUAUCUAGUAGGAAGAAGAAGAAACCCAAAACGAGAACGUCCGGCCGCGUUCAAAAA